AGGAGCAACAGCCCCAGUGGCGGGGCCAGCUCUGGAGCCCUGGAUUCAGCUCCGGCAGGAACUCCGUCUGCAGGGCCUGGAGGCUCCGGGCGGGG
rnacentral:pre_miRNA from 1 species